UACAGAGGUCUCAAGCGUUGUUCGGAUUCAUUGGGCGUAAAGAGCGCGCAGGCGGUCGUUCAAGUCGCGUGUGAAAGCCCCCGGCUCAACUGGGGAGGGUCACGCGAUACUGAUCGACUCGAAGGCAGGAGAGGGAAGUGGAAUUCCCGGUGUAGUGGUGAAAUGCGUAGAUAUCGGGAGGAACACCAGUGGCGAAGGCGACUUCCUGGCCUGUUCUUGACGCUGAGGAGCGAAAGCGUGGGGAGCGAACAGG
rnacentral:rRNA from 1 species